AGGGAAGUAAGCUAAAUUUAAGCUAAUGGGUUCAAACCCCAUCUAUAGAGUUUUAUCUCUCUUCCCUA
rnacentral:tRNA from 1 species